AUAAAUAAAAUUUCUUCGCUGAAGAAAGCAGGUGCUCCCCAAGGAGCUUAAUAUCCCGCCAAGGUGAGGGCUUAAUUUGACUAAUAAAAGUCGAAAAUGACAAUUAGAAGUCUUUGCCUCAGCGGAAAAUUGAGGCAGAGACUUCAAUGUUUAAAA
rfam:Anaerolinaceae bacterium 46_22 MPJ_scaffold_3137, whole genome shotgun sequence.